rnacentral:rRNA from 1 species
AGCAGUCGCCGCGGUAAAACGAAGGGUGCAAGCGUUAAUCGGAAUUACUGGGCGUAAAGUGUGCGUAGGCGGUUUGUUAAGUCUGCUGUGAAAUCCCCGGGCUCAACCUGGGAAUGGCAGUGGAUACUGGCAAGCUAGAGUGUGUCAGAGGAUGGUGGAAUUCCCGGUGUAGCGGUGAAAUGCGUAGAGAUCGGGAGGAACAUCAGUGGCGAAGGCGGCCAUCUGGGACAACACUGACGCUGAGGCACGAAAGCGUGGGGAGCAAACAGGAUUAGAUACCCCUGUAGUCCCUGUCUCUUAUAC